AGUGAACGCUGGCGGUAGGCCUAACACAUGCAAGUCGAACGGCAGCACAGUAAGAGCUUGCUCUUACGGGUGGCGAGUGGCGGACGGGUGAGGAAUACACCGGAAUCUACUUUUUCGUGGGGGAUAACGUAGGGAAACUUACGCUAAUACCGCAUACGACCUACGGGUGAAAGCAGGGGAUCUUCGGACCUUGCGCGAUUGAAUGAGGCGAUGUCGGAUUAGCUAGAUGGCGGGGUAUAGGCGCACCAAGGCGACGAUCCGUAGCUGGUCUGAGAGGAUCAUCCGCCACACUGGCACUGAGACACGGUCCAGACUCCUGGGGUGGGCAGCAGUGGGGACUAUUGCGCGAUGGGGGAAUGCCUGAUCCAGCCAUACCGCGUGGGUGAUGAAGGCCUUCGGGUUGUAGAGCCCUUAUGUUGUGAAGGAAGAGCAGCACUUUAAUCCCCCGCUGUUCUGACGGUACCCGAAGAAUAAGCACCGGCUAACUUCGUG
rnacentral:rRNA from 1 species